UACGAAGGGGGCUAGCGUUGUUCGGAAUCACUGGGCGUAAAGGGCGCGUAGGCGGCCUGAUAAGUCGGGGGUGAAAGCCUGUGGCUCAACCACAGAAUUGCCUUCGAUACUGUUAGGCUUGAGACCGGAAGAGGUAAGUGGAACUGCGAGUGUAGAGGUGAAAAUUCGUAGAUAUUCGCAAGAACACCAGUGGCGAAGGCGGCUUACUGGUCCGGUUCUGACGCUGAGGCGCGAAAGCGUGGGGAGCAAACAGG
rnacentral:rRNA from 1 species